rnacentral:lncRNA from 1 species
AUCAAUCCAACGGCUGUGGUUGUCAGGUCCGGAUGGCAGCUAAUUCGAGACGGACUUGAUAGAAAACCAUUAUAUUUAAACUGUUAAUUUAUUUGAAUAAUGUAGAUGACUUCUUUUUUCUUUUGCAAUUAUACCCUUUCAACAUUAUUUUAACAUUAAUUAAUUUAUUUAUAAAAUAGUUAAUUAAUAAAUUAACCAAUAAUUAUUUAGUGUGAAAGAACUAAUACUUUUUUAUCAAUCACUCAAUUUCGAAUUUCAUCUCCAUUCUCUCGAAGAAGAAGAACACACGAAGAAUUUCAGCUUGCUUCAACUUCAUUGGCUUCUCAAAUCUCAGGUAUUGUUUCCUUUAAUUUUAAUAAUAUUUUUACUUCUCUCUUUCUAGUUUGAUAAUUUUAGGGUUAUACUUGAAUUAAUUGUAUUUUUAAUCAAUUUAGGGUUGAUUUAAUUGAUUCCAAGUCUUGUAUCUGUUCCUGUUCAACAAACAAAGAACGCACAAAUAAUUUUCAUUUUCAUUCUCAAUUUUCAAAGAAUCAAUAUAUUUUAUCUUCGGUUAGUACACUUCUAUUCAAUUUUUGUUUAUUUAACGUAAGAUAUUAUUUUCAUUCUUCUCUUCAAGUAGAUUAUAGCAUUGCUCCUCUCAUUAGUUAUAUUGUCCUUGAUUCUGCCAAGAACGACUUUGAUUUCAGGUAAUAAUUGAAUGUGUAAUAUUUUUAGUUGAAAUUAAUUGAGUCUCGUAAUAGUAAUAGGGAAUUGAGAUUUAUAUCAUGUUGAAAUGGUUUUAGAGUGUUCUGCUAUUUGAAUGCACAUUACUUGUUUGAUGAAAUAUCUAUUUAAAAAAUUAUUUUGUUUUUAGCAAACAUCUUACUGAGAUGUCUCUUGUAAUAAUAUUAACGUAAUGUACUUUGCUUCAAUUUGGUCUGUUUCAUACAUUUGAACAAAGGAAAAUUACAGAACUGCAACAAUUCUCAAAUUGCUUGCAGAUUAGAAGUUAUGUUAAUUUGUACUGCAACAGUUCAAUGGGCAGGGCCCAAGUUAAGGACUUUGGUUGUUCAAUUAAUAAAUCCACUGAUCAUUGGAACUUGUAUCUAUUGAAUCAAUAAAAAUAAUUAAUAAAAUCAAUUAGAGACACUCUAGUUGCUUAAUUAGUCAAAUUGUGAUCUCAUUACCCCCCCUUUUUGGGUUGAUUCUAUAAUUUUAUUAGUUGUUCUUGUGGUUGUAAACAAUAUCAAUUUCUAAUAUUAAUAAAAUUGAAUGAAUAAAAAGUGAUGCAUUUGUAGGAAAGUUAAUAGUUUAAAUAUGGAUAAUCUUGAAUGUUGAUGGAUAGAAGUCUAUAGAAUACAAGAAUGGGGUAAAUGAGUUUCUCAAGUUUGCAAUACUUCAUGCUAAUAAUCCUGAACUUUUGAGAUGUCCAUGCCAAGCAUGUGGUAAUUUGGUCUUUCAUAUACCAGUUGAGAUAAGAAAUCAUCUUUAUUGGAAAGGUAUUGACCAAAGCUAUCAAACAUGGACUUGGCAUGGAGAAGGACCUUCUAGUAGAUGACCAUAAAAAAUAAAAGUUUCAUUUGAUGGCAGUCAACAAGAUUAUGAAGAUGCUGAUACGGUAGAAAUGGUGAAUGAUAAUGAAGAUGAGAUCAACGAAAUUCGCUCUGAGUGGACCACUUAUAUUAAUGACUUGAUUUGAAAGAAAAAAAUGCAAAAGAGACAAGUAAUGUAGGUAAAGAGCAUAUGAUUUAAUUGAAGUACAUCAGUCUACUAUGAAUAUUUUUCAUGCAUAGAAUUUUCCUUCUGCUUGUGCAUAGAUAUCUUAUGCUUUUAUUACAUAAGGCAACUCUUUAUAUCGUCUAGUUAGAUUCAGAAUAAAAAGCUCUCAAUUAAUUCGAUCAAAAUUUGUCAAUGCCUUGCUGGUAACCAUAACUUACUUUUUCAGCCUCCUUCUUAAACAAUAACAACAAUAUAUAGCAGUAAUUUUGGUUUCUUGAUGUGUAGGGCUACGCGAGGGAGUUAUAUAGAUUUCAGUAACCAAGAUACAUUUACAAUCAGAGAAGAUAUAAGGUUUAUAAAGUAUCAGACUUUUCAUUAACUAUUGGGUUAAUAGAAAUUUAUUUAAUAGUUUUUCUUUUCGUAUGUACAAGGCUGCUGUAAAAAAAUUUUGGAUCGAUGGUGGAAUGCUAACUAAAUGCUUAAAUGUAUAGUUUUAGAAACAACAUCUUAUUUUAGAUUUAUA